rnacentral:rRNA from 1 species
CCUACGGGAGGCUGCAGUGGGGAAUAUUGGACAAUGGGGGGAACCCUGAUCCAGCCAUGCCGCGUGUGUGAAGAAGGCCCUCGGGUUGUAAAGCACUUUCAGUGAGGAAGAACGCCUGGUGGUUAAUACCCAUCAGGAAAGACAUCACUCACAGAAGAAGCACCGGCUAACUCCGUGCCAGCAGCCGCGGUAAUACAGAGGGUGCGAGCGUUAAUCGGAAUUACUGGGCGUAAAGCGCGCGUAGGUGGCUUGAUAAGCCGGUUGUGAAAGCCCCGGGCUCAACCUGGGAACGGCAUCCGGAACUGUCAAGCUAGAGUGCAGGAGAGGAAGGUAGAAUUCCCGGUGUAGCGGUGAAAUGCGUAGAGAUCGGGAGGAAUACCAGUGGCGAAGGCGGCCUUCUGGACUGACACUGACACUGAGGUGCGAAAGCGUGGGUAGCAAACAGGAUUAGAUACCCUUGUAGUC